GAGGAGCUUGCUCUUCUUGGAUGAGUUGCGAACGGGUGAGUAACGCGUAGGUAACCUGCCUGGUAGCGGGGGAUAACUAUUGGAAACGAUAGCUAAUACCGCAUGAAAUGGAUUAUCGCAUGAUAAUCGAUUGAAAGGUGCAAAUGCAUCACUACCAGAUGGACCUGCGUUGUAUUAGCUAGUUGGUGAGGUAACGGCUCACCAAGGCAACGAUACAUAGCCGACCUGAGAGGGUGAUCGGCCACACUGGGACUGAGACACGGCCCAGACUCCUACGGGAGGCAGCAGUAGGGAAUCUUCGGCAAUGGACGGAAGUCUGACCGAGCAACGCCGCGUGAGUGAAGAAGGUUUUCGGAUCGUAAAGCUCUGUUGUAAGAGAAGAACGAGUGUGAGAGUGGAAAGUUCACACUGUGAC
rnacentral:rRNA from 1 species